UAGCACCGUUGCCUGCGCCAUUGGGGCUCCCUGCCAUUAGCUGGGUUUUAAUGCAGUGCAGUAGGAAUUCCCUCAUUCCACAAGGACCUGGCCUGCUGUGGGCUGCUCUUCCCUACGGUUGGGCCUUUCA
rnacentral:snoRNA from 1 species